GAUGAACGCUGGCGGCGUGCUUAACACAUGCAAGUCGAACGGGAAACCUUUUAAUGAAGCUUCGGCAGAUUUAGCUGGUUUCUAGUGGCGGACGGGUGAGUAACGCGUGGGUAACCUGCCUUAUACAGGGGGAUAACAGUCAGAAAUGACUGCUAAUACCGCAUAAGCGCACAGGACCGCAUGGUCCGGUGUGAAAAACUCCGGUGGUAUAAGAUGGACCCGCGUUGGAUUAGCUUGUUGGUGGGGUAACGGCUCACCAAGGCGACGAUCCAUAGCCGGCCUGAGAGGGUGAACGGCCACAUUGGGACUGAGACACGGCCCAGACUCCUACGGGAGGCAGCAGUGGGGAAUAUUGCACAAUGGGGGAAACCCUGAUGCAGCGACGCCGCGUGAAGGAAGAAGUAUCUAGGUAUGUAAACUUCUAUCAGCAGGGAAGAUAGUGACGGUACCUGACUAAGAAGCCCCGGCUAACUACGUG
rnacentral:rRNA from 1 species